UAAAGCCAUCUUGGAUCUCAGAAUUACAACCUGAGAGCGCGGAUAUAUUCUCACAACAAGUGGGACUUCAGAGCUAAUUCUGGUUCAGGUCGGUCAAUAGCGGUGAUUUAAGGACGCGCGUGGCGAGCAGUCUUUUCUUGGUUUCCAUUAAAGUGGUAUCUGCUGCUUUGUGAGGCUUCCACGCUGCAGAGAGGACGACCACGUAAAAGAAGAUGUUCUUCAUCAUCAUCACUGCUGCAGUUGGCCUGUUCUGGUGUUCUCCUCAUGGAGACACAACGAGACUCAACAGUUUGACCUUGAACUGGUGGCCUGUGAUGGACUGCAGAGGCCGCUCCACAACUGAAGGACAGCACACAACCCAGACUGACAAACUGACUGAUCACUGAGGAGGGAUGUGUUUGUUUUUGCUUUGUUUUCAUCUUGCUGACCUAAUAUUGCAGACGGAAUUGGCCUUUAGGGACAAACAAAGUUUUCAGAAUCGGAGCUGCAGCUCAGUCUAUUACUUUCAUCGGUUCCUGCAGUGGUAGGAGGACGCUUUUCUACUCUAAAAGACACGACUUUACAAUCAAAUACAACAUUUUCUAAGAAAUAGAUCAAUAAGUACAAAUGGUUUUCUGUUUAAAGACCGACUCUGAUGAAAAUAAUAUUUUCUGAGGUUUUGACAUCUUUUAAUUUAAUAAUAAAUCAUUUUAUUUUUGCAUUUCCUUUAAAUCGCUGUCAUUCAAACUGUUGCAAAGACGCUCUGUGAGAUGAUUCCAGCUUUAUGACAUAGUGAAUAGAAGAUGGUACACUGUGGUCAUAAAGGGAUGGACAUGGUCAGCAACAAAACUAUGAUAAAUUGAUGCCAAAAAAUAUCCCCCACACCAUGACACCACCACCACCAGCUUUAACCGUUGAUACAAGGCAGGAUGGAUUCAUGCUUUCAUGUUGUUGAUGCCAAAUUCUGACCCAACCAUCAGAAUGUGGCAGCAGAAUUGGAGACUCGUCACCCCAGACAACCUUUUUUCCAUCUUUUAUUGUCCAGUUUUGGUGAGUCUGUGUGAAUUCUAGCCUGAAUUUCCUGUUCUAAGCUGACAGUAGUGACAGCCGUUGUGUUCUUCUGCUGCUGUAGUCCAUCAGCAUCAAGGUUGUUGUUGCUGUUGCGUUUCUAUCAGCUGGAACCACUCUGGCCAUUCUCCUUUGACAUCAACAGAACUGCCGGUCACUGAAUAUUUUCUCUUUUUCUGACCAUUCUCUGUGAACCCUAGAGAUGGUUUUUGGAAAAAAUCCCAGCAGAUCAGCAGUUUCUGAAAUACUCUUGACAUGUCUACAUGCUUAUAUGCUUAUGGCUGAUUAGAAAUUUGCAUUAACGAGCAGAUGGACAGGUGAUUGGUUAUUGUGAUGUCCUCAACCCUUCCGUUAUCCUAGAUAUGUUGACCUUGGGAGUGGGGUAAUCUGGACCCCACAAGAAUUUUUUUUUUUCAAUGAUUUUUAAUUUUCUCUGGUGUCCAUGGCAGA